CGCGUAGGCGGAUACUUAAGUCUGGUGUGAAGCCCACGGCUCAACCGUGGAGGGUCAUUGGAAACUGGGAGACUUGAGUGCAGAAGAGGAAAGUGGAAUUCCACGUGUAGCGGUGAAAUGCGUAGAUAUGUGGAGGAACACCAGUGGCGAAGGCGACUUUCCGGACUGUAACUGACGCUGAGGCGCGAAAGCGUGGGGAGCAAACAGGAUUAGAUACCCUGGUAGUCCACGCCGUAAACGAUGAGUGCUAAGUGUUAGAGGGUUUCCGCCCUUUAGUGCUGAAGUUAACGCAUUAAGCACUCCGCCUGGGGAGUACGGCCGCAAAGGCUGAAACUCAAAUGAAUUGACGG
rnacentral:rRNA from 1 species